rnacentral:rRNA from 1 species
AUUGAACGCUGGCGGCAUGCUUUACACAUGCAAGUCGAACGGCAGCGCGGGCUUCGGCCUGGCGGCGAGUGGCGAACGGGUGAGUAAUGCAUCGGAACGUGCCCAGUAGUGGGGGAUAGCCCGGCGAAAGACGGAUUAAUACCGCAUACGACCUGAGGGUGAAAGCGGGGGACCGAAAGGCCUCGCGCUAUUGGAGCGGCCGAUGUCGGAUUAGCUAGUUGGUGGGGUAAAGGCUUACCAAGGCGACGAUCCGUAGCUGGUCUGAGAGGACGACCAGCCACACUGGGACUGAGACACGGCCCAGACUCCUACGGGAGGCAGCAGUGGGGAAUUUUGGACAAUGGGGGCAACCCUGAUCCAGCCAUGCCGCGUGCGGGAAGAAGGCCUUCGGGUUGUAAACCGCUUUUGUUCGGGAAGAAAUCCUCUGGGCUAAUACCCCGGGGGGAUGACGGUACCGGAAGAAUAAGCACCGGCUAACUACGUG